rnacentral:rRNA from 1 species
UACAGAGGUCUCAAGCGUUGUUCGGAUUCAUUGGGCGUAAAGGGUGCGUAGGCGGCGCGGUAAGUCGGGUGUGAAAUCUCGGAGCUUAACUUCGAAACUGCAUUCGAUACUGCCGUGCUUGAGGACUGGAGAGGAGACUGGAAUUUACGGUGUAGCGGUGAAAUGCGUAGAUAUCGGGAGGAACACCUGAGGCGAAGGCGGGCUACUGGGCCGAUGCUGACGCUGAGGCGCGAAAGCCAGGGGAGCGAACGGG